rnacentral:rRNA from 1 species
AUACAGGUGYUGCAUGGYUGUCGUCAGCUCGUGUCGUGAGAUGUUGGGUUAAGUCCCGCAACGAGCGCAACCC